rnacentral:rRNA from 1 species
AGAGUUUGAUCCUGGCUCACAGUGAACGCUGGCGGCGUGCUUAACACGUGCCAGACGAACGAGAACGGCACAUGGCUUGCUAUGUUUGUCAACUAGAUGGUGCACGGGUGAGUAAUGUAUAGCUACUGCACCCCUUGGAGGGGGAUACCAUGUGGAAACGGCUGCUAAUACCCCAUACUCCUUCUAUCUUAAUGGAAGUUGGGAAAUGCUCUUUCACCAAGGGAUCGGGCUAUAUGGUAUCACAUAGGUGGCGACGCAAUGGCUCACCAAGACAAUGACGCCUAUCUGCUCUGAGAGGAUGAUCAGCCACGCUGGAACUGAGACACGGACCAGACUCCUACGAGAGGCAGCAGUGGGGAAUAUUGCACAAUGGGGGAAACCCUGAUGCAGCAACCCCGCGUGGAGGAUGACGCAUUUCGGUGUGUAAACUCCUUUUAUAUAGGAAGAUAAUGACGGUACUAUAUGAAUAAGCACCGGCUAACUCCGUGCCAGCAACCGCGGUAAUACGGAGGGUGCAAGCGUUACUCAGAAUCACUGGACGUAAAGCGCGCGCAGGCGGUUUGAUAAGUGGGAUGUGAAAUCCUAUGGCUUAACCAUAGAACUGCAUCCAAAACUGUCAACCUAGAGUCUGGGAGGGGAAGAUGCAAGUAAUGGUGUAGGGGUAAAAUGCCGUAGAGAUCACUAGGAAUACCAAAAGCGAAGGCGAUCUUCUGGAACAGUACUGACGCUG